rnacentral:rRNA from 1 species
AUUGAACGCUGGCGGCAGGCUUAACACAUGCAAGUCGAGCGGGGUGAUGGUGCUUGCACUAUCACUUAGCGGCGGACGGGUGAGUAAUGCUUAGGAAUCUGCCUAUUAGUGGGGGACAACAUCUCGAAAGGGAUGCUAAUACCGCAUACGUCCUACGGGAGAAAGCAGGGGAUCACUUGUGACCUUGCGCUAAUAGAUGAGCCUAAGUCGGAUUAGCUAGUUGGUGAGGUAAAGGCCUACCAAGGCGACGAUCUGUAGCGGGUCUGAGAGGAUGAUCCGCCACACUGGGACUGAGACACGGCCCAGACUCCUACGGGAGGCAGCAGUGGGGAAUAUUGGACAAUGGGGGGAACCCUGAUCCAGCCAUGCCGCGUGUGUGAAGAAGGCCCUAUGGUUGUAAAGCACUCUAAGCGAGGAGGAGGCUCUUUUGGUUAAUACCCAAGAUGAGUGGACGUUACUCGCAGAAUAAGCACCGGCUAACUCUGUGCCAGCAGCCGCCGCCG